rnacentral:tRNA from 1 species
GCCCGGAUAGCUCAGUCAGUAGGGUAUCAGACUUUUAAUCUGAGGGUCCAGGAUUCAGGUCCUUGUUCGGGCG